AUUGAACGCUGGCGGCAUGCCUUACACAUGCAAGUCGAACGGCAGCAUGGAGAGCUUGCUCUCUGAUGGCGAGUGGCGAACGGGUGAGUAAUGCAUCGGAACGUACCGUGUAAUGGGGGAUAACGUAGCGAAAGUUACGCUAAUACCGCAUACGACCUGAGGGUGAAAGAAGGGGAUCGCAAGACCUGGCGUUAUACGAGCGGCCGAUGUCAGAUUAGCUAGUUGGCAGGGUAAAGGCCUACCAAGGCGACGAGCUGUAGCGGGUCUGAGAGGAUGAUCCGCCACACUGGGACUGAGACACGGCCCAGACUCCUACGGGAGGCAGCAGUGGGGAAUUUUGGACAAUGGGGGCAACCCUGAUCCAGCCAUGCCGCGUGAGUGAAGAAGGCCUUCGGGUUGUAAAGCUCUUUCGGCCGGGAAGAAAUCGCACAGGCUAAUACUCUGUGUGGAUGACGGUACCGGCAUAAGAAGCACCGGCUAACUACGUGCCAGCCGCCGCAGUAAUAC
rnacentral:rRNA from 1 species